rnacentral:lncRNA from 1 species
CAAGUUUUUAAAGGAAGAUUCAAGUAUGGAAUAGAUUUUGUCCAGGACCCAUGAGGCAAUGUUGUGUGCAAAAAAAGGUAAAAGAUCCUGCUUCAUUUGGAUGGCAACCAAGUCAGCCAUAUGGGAAGGAAAAUAAUCUAGUGAGUUGCAAAAUAAGAAAUCAUGGUCCAUGUGUUCCGUUGGAUGGCUUUCUUUGGGAUAUAAGGUACUAUCUCUUUGAGUUUCAGUUUACAGCCCUUUAAAUGGGAAUAUCUUGGGCUUUGUUGCUAAGAUUUGAGUAUAUAAUGAAUAUGCAUCUGCUAACUAAAUCUCUUUACCAGAAGGAGCUCUUUGGAGUAUUCCCCUUUCCUGAC